AUGGCCAUGAGUAUGGCAACCGGCGCCAUGGGCUCCCUGCUGCCCAAGCUGGUCAAGCUCCUCAAGGAGGAGUACAAGCUCAAGGAGAGCGUCAAGGAAGGCGUCCGAUCUCUUGAGGAAGAGAUGAAGAGCAUGCAAGCUGCGCUCCGCAAGGUGGGCGAGGUGCCGCGGGACCAGCUCAACGAGCACGUCAAGAUCUGGGCAGCCGAGGUGAGGGAACUCUCCUUCAAGAUGGAGGACAUCGUCGACAAGUUCUUUGUGCGUGUCGAUGACGGCUCUGAGCCUGCUGCCAGUCCGAAGAAGCUCAAACGGCUCACCAAAAAGAUGGUCGGCCUGUUCACCAAGGGGAAGGCCCGCCAUGAGAUCUCCGAUGCAAUCAAGAGCAUCAAUAAGAAAGUACAAGAGGUUGCUGAUAGGCGUGCAAGGUACAAUGUUGACAAUAUCAUUGCUAGCAUCCCAACCGUGACUCCCAUCGAUCCUCGCCUUGGGGAUCUAUACAAGGAAGUGAAAGAUCUUGUUGGCAUUACCGGAACAAGGGAUCAAGAGAUAAUGAAGUUGCUCUCCGAGGGGGACGACAUGUCCAAGAAAAAGUUGAAGAUCGUCUCUGUUGUCGGAUUUGGA
rnacentral:rRNA from 1 species